ensembl:misc_RNA RN7SL2 RNA component of signal recognition particle 7SL2
GCCGGGCGCGGUGGCGCGUGCCUGUAGUCCCAGCUACUCGGGAGGCUGAGGUGGGAGGAUCGCUUGAGCCCAGGAGUUCUGGGCUGUAGUGCGCUAUGCCGAUCGGGUGUCCGCACUAAGUUCGGCAUCAAUAUGGUGACCUCCCGGGAGCGGGGGACCACCAGGUUGCCUAAGGAGGGGUGAACCGGCCCAGGUCGGAAACGGAGCAGGUCAAAACUCCCGUGCUGAUCAGUAGUGGGAUCGCGCCUGUGAAUAGCCACUGCACUCCAGCCUGAGCAACAUAGCGAGACCCCGUCUCUU